UACAGAGGUCUCAAGCGUUGUUCGGAUUCAUUGGGCGUAAAGGGUGCGUAGGCGGCGCGGUAAGUCGGGUGUGAAAUCUUGGAGCUUAACUCCGAAACUGCAUUCGAUACUGCCGUGCUUUGAGGACUGGAGAGGAGACUGGAAUUUACGGUGUAGCGGUGAAAUGCGUAGAUAUCGUAAGGAAGACCAGUGGCGAAGGCGGGUCUCUGGACAGUUCCUGACGCUGAGGCACGAAGGCCAGGGGGAGCAAACGGGG
rnacentral:rRNA from 1 species